ACGGAGGGGGCUAGCGUUGUUCGGAAUUACUGGGCGUAAAGCGUGCGUAGGUGGUUUGUUAAGUCUGAUGUGAAAGCCCUGGGCUCAACCUGGGAACUGCAUUGGAAACUGGCUUACUAGAGUGCGGUAGAGGGGUGUGGAAUUCCCGGUGUAGCAGUGAAAUGCGUAGAUAUCGGGAGGAACAUCUGUGGCGAAGGCGACACCCUGGACCAGCACUGACACUGAGGCACGAAAGCGUGGGGAGCAAACAGGA
rnacentral:rRNA from 1 species